UACGUAGGAGGCGAGCGUUGUCCGGAGUUACUGGGCGUAAAGGGUGCGCAGGCGGUGGUGCGCGUGGAUAGAUGAAAUCUCCUGGCUUACCUGGGAGGAUGGUAUCCAGACGGCAUCACUUGAGGGUCGGAGAGGGGCGUGGAAUUCCGGGUGGAGCGGUGAAAUGCGUAGAGAUCCGGAGGAACACCGACGGCGUAGGCAGCGCCCUGGACGACACCUGACGCUGAGGCACGAAAGCGUGGGGAGCGAACAGG
rnacentral:rRNA from 1 species